AAAUUGCUGAUACCAAGAGUACAAUCUGUCAAUGUACAUCCUAGGAAUGGGCUGGCUAUCCAGGCUAUCACGUGGAUGAUGGGAAUCAAUUUUCCUUUUUUUUUUUUUUUUAUCUCCAGGCAUGGGCCUCACAAAGUCAUCCAAGUGUCAAAUACCAGCAUCAUGUUGAUCAUGAAUAUAGUGAUAUGCUGUAGGUGGAUUUCUUUUAGCGCCAAACAAGCACCUUUUGAAUUCAAUUGCAAAUCAGGCAUGAUACACUAUUUCCACAAGAUAUUGCCAUAUAUAACAUGCGUCCUCUUAACACAAAAAUUAACUCAAUUUGACAAUCC
rnacentral:misc_RNA from 1 species